UUAGACUUGUACGAAAAUCAUCAAAGAGAAUGUGAGAAAGUCCUUUGGUGAAGAUGUCUGCAAUCUGGGGUCGGGAGUGAACAUGAAGAUCGCGUGCCUGACCACGAGCUACCUUUUCCCGAAUAAAAUGAAUGUCCGUCUCAAUGAACCUUGGUCUUGUUGCUUCAUGGUACCUUUGGUGUGAAGUUUGUUCAACAUAUGACCUCCUUCCAUUGUAGAUUUUCGCCCUUCCUUGCACUUCUUUUUCUUUUGGAUAUCAUCAUUGAUUUUGGAUAUCCUUGUUUUUCUUGUUUUGUGCUUUUGUUCAUGAUGGAUCAGCCAUGUUGAUAAGCUUCCGUCAUGAAUGGUUAAGCGUUGUGCCUUAAUUGGCUUCGUUGAUGAUUGCUCCUACCGGAUGGUGGUUAAGCGUUGCUUUGAUGCUUCUUCCUUCAAUUGGUUCAACCUUGAGUUGUGGUUGUUUCUUGUUGGAUAAGCACUUGUUUGGUGACUAUGUUUUAGAUGAUUUGCCUACCAGUUUACGGGAAUUGACUGUUGGCUCUCUUGGAGGGAUUUUGUGGAAUACUAAGCCAACAUGGGAACGUCUCAAUUGUCUGUCAGUGUUGCGAAUUAAAGGUGGUGAUAUGGUGAACUCAUUCAUGGUGCCAAAACCUUGAGAUUGUUAAUGCUCCGAAACUCAGGUUGUUGCCAAAGAAAGGAUUUCCUUCCUCUCUUUUAGUGCUAAAUAUGACUCACGGUCCAUUACUGGAAGCAAGGUUGCGGAGGAAGCAAGGGAAAGAGUGGCGUAAGAUUGCCCACAUUCCCUCCAUAAUUAUAGAUGACGAAUUGAUUACAUGAGUUUCCUAUUCGGAAUUGUAUUCUGUCACCCCUGCUUCUUCCAAAUCUUGCUGUUGUGAGAAGUCAAAUUUGCAUGCACAACCUGCAACCAGGUCCAUUAAUUUUUUACUGAUGAGGAACAGAUGAAAAAGAGAAACAGAAACUGACUUCAAAUAUGUUAGAAGAUAUCCCUCAGCAGAGUUUCUCAUAUACAGUUUUGUGAUGAGCUGGAGUUAAGGUUGAUUGCCUAAUCCUAUAUCUGGCCUUCAUGAAAUGAAAAUUCAAAAUCUUCCAAAUCUGCAAUCUACUUCCAAUGAUGGGUUGCCUAUCAGUUUACAGAAACUGAAUAUUGGCUCGAUUAAAGGGAUUUUGGGGAACAUAUUAUAGAACAUCUCAAUUGCCUAUCCAAUGAUGCGUGUUGUGAAUAGUGCUGAUAUACUUAAGGGGUGAAAGAAAAGGUAUGUGCACUUCGACCUGCAUUCUUGUCAUAGAAUGAGAGCUACCAAGCUCAAUUCAUUACCAGAAGAGGGAAUUGCAUAUCAGAGACUGCCAAUUGCGAGAAGCAAAUUAGAAGAGGAAGCAAAGAAAAUAGUGGUGCAAGAUUGUUCACAUUUCCUCCAUAGUUAUCAACAACAAAAUGAUCGCAUGAGUGUUGUGUCCAGAAUCCGUAUACUGUUGAGCUGAUGGAUGAGGAUAUCGUCUUCUUUGAAAAUCUAAGCUUGUUUUGGUCCUUUGUGUUGUGCAUUGUGAUUUUUGUUUGAGCCCUGAGGUUCUCAGACAUAGCAAGUAUUGAUUCAGAAAAGGACAUAAUUAGUGGAGCAACUCAUAGAAGAAGGAAUUUUCUGUCAGAGUUGAUUUCGCAGAAACGUCCUACUCAUGAAAAUCAAAGAGGAGAAGUUUUUUUUUAUAAGCUGAAUUUUUGUUGUAAUUUCUACCCAUUUUCCCAAUCUCACAAAUGAACAAGACACUCAAUGAUUUUCACUCACCCAAGGUGUUUACAAUGUUUCCCAACCCAAGAGAACUCUAAUAAAAAAUUAACCCUAAAGUUAACUCCUUUGAUUUCCCAAGUUUUCCUCUCUUGAAGUUCUCUCUCUCCUACCUUCAAAAAUGAGCUGAAACACUUAAAUAGUACACAGUGACAGACAAAAAUCGCGUCGCGCCUGGGAAAAUCGCGCCACGGUUGAAGCGUACGACAACCUUAUCCACAAAUCGCGUCACGGCUGCACAAAAUCGCGCCACGAUUUGCUUCAGCAGAAACCAUCCAUUCUGCCAGCAAAAUCGCGCCACGCCUCUGAAACGCGAUUUUCAGCUUUCACACAGCAUCACAAU